UGCGCGGAAAGUCAAAUGUGAAAGCCCGGGGCUCAACCUCGGAACUGCAUUCGAUACUCCCGUGCUAGAGUAAUGGAGAGGUAAGUGGAAUUCCUGGUGUAGCAGUGAAAUGCGUGGAUAUCAGGAGGAACAUCAAUGGCGAAGGCAGCUUACUGGGUCACUACUGACACUGAGGAGCGAAAGCAUGGGUAGCGAAGAGGAUUAGAUACCCUCGUAGUCCAUGCCGUAAACGAUGUGUGCUAGACGUUGGAAAUAUAUUUUUCAGUGUCGCAGCGAAAGCAUUAAGCACACCGCCUGGGGAGUACGACCGCAAGGUUAAAGCUCAAAUGAAUUGACGGGGACCCGCACAAGCAGUGGAGCAUGUGGUUUAAUUCGAAGAUACGCGCAGAACCUUACCAACACUUGACAUGUUCGUCGCGAGACUAAGAGAUUAGUCUUUUCAGUUAGGCUGGACGAAACACAGGUGCUGCAUGGCU
rnacentral:rRNA from 1 species